UGAAUACGAGACGCUAAGGCGUCGAAGUAGUGUAUGUCAUACUUCCAAGAAAAGCUUGCACUGUCAUAGAUAAAAAACGCCUGUACCAUAACCGACACAGGUGGGUAGGUAGAGUAUACUAAGGGGCGCGAGAUAACUCUCUCUAAGGAACUCGGCAAAAUGACUCCGUAACUUCGGGAGAAGGAGUGCCUUAUUCUUAAGGUUGCAAUAACAAGAUCCAAGCAACUGUUUAUCAAAAACACAGGUCUCCGCUAAGUCGUAAGACGAUGUAUGGGGGCUGACGCCUGCCCAGUGCCAGAAGGUUAAAGAAGUUGGUUAGCAUUUGCGAAGCUGAUAACUGAAGCCCUGGUGAACGGCGGCCGUAACAAUAACGGUCCUAAGGUAGCGAAAUUCCUUGUCGGGUAAGUUCCGACCCGCACGAAAGGCGUAAUGAUUUGGAUACUGUCUCGGAGAGGGGCUCGGUGAAAUAGACUUGUCUGUGAAGAUGCGGACUACCUGCACCAGGACAGAAAGACCCUAUGAAGCUUUACUGUAACUUGAAAUUGAAAUUGGACUUUAUUCGCGCAGUAUAGGUGGGAGGCGUUGAUUAUAAUCUUGCGGGAUUAUUGGAGCCAUCAGUGAGAUACCACCCUUGUAAUGUUAGAUUUCUAACUUUGAAUCAUUAUCUGGUCAAAGAACAGUUUCAGGCGGGCAGUUUGACUGGGGCGGUCGCCUCCUAAACGGUAGCGGAGGCGUACAAAGGUUUCCUCUGAACGGUUAGAAAUCGUAUCUAGAGUGUAAAGGCAUAAGGAAGCUUGACUGUGAGACCUACAAGUCGAGCAGGGACGAAAGUCGGUCUUAGUGAUCUGACGGUACUGAGUGGAAAGGCCGUCACUCAACGGAUAAAAGUUACUCUAAGGAUAACAGGCUGAUCUCCCCCAAGAGUUCACAUCGACGGGGAGGUUUGGCACCUCGAUGUCGGCUCAUCGCAUCCUGGGGCGGUAGUACGUCCCAAGGGUUGGGCUGUUCGCCCAUGAAAGCGGUACGCGAGCUGGGUUCAGAACGUCGUGAGACAGUUCGGUCCAUAUCCGGUGUAGGCGUUAGAAUAUUGAGAGGAGCCUUCUUUAGUACGAGAGGACCGAGAAGGACAUACCUCUGGUGUACCAGUUAUCGUGCCAACGGUAAACGCUGGGUAGCUAUGUAUGGAGUGGAUAACCGCUGAAAGCAUCUAAAUGGGAAGCCCACCUCAAGAUAAG
rnacentral:rRNA from 1 species